CCUACGGGCGGCAGCAGUGGGGAAUAUUGGGCAAUGGGCGCAAGCCUGACCCAGCCAUGCCGCGUGAAGGAAGAAGGCUUUCGGGUUGUAAACUUCUUUGACAGGGGAAGAGCAGAAGACGGUACCCUGAAAACAAGCCACGGCUAACUACGUGCCAGCAGCCGCGGUAAUACGUAGGUGGCAAGCGUUGUCCGGAUUUACUGGGUGUAAAGGGCGUGUAGCCGGGAAGGCAAGUCAGAUGUGAAAUCUGGAGGCUAAACCUCCAAAUUGCAUUUGAUACUGUUUUUCUUGAGUACUGUGGAGGCAGACGGAAUGUGUGGUGUAGCGGUGAAAUGCGUAGAUAUAAGGAGGAACACCAGUGGCGAAGGCGGUCUGCUGGACAGCAACUGACGGUGAGGCGCGAAAGCGUGGGGAGCAAACAGGAUUAGAUACCCCUGUAGUC
rnacentral:rRNA from 1 species